rnacentral:rRNA from 1 species
CGGGGGGGAACGCGAAGAACCUUACCAAGGCUUAAAUGUAGAUUGACCGGUUUGGAAACAGACUUUUCGCAAGACAAUUUACAAGGUGCUGCAUGGUUGUCGUCAGCUCGUGCCGUGAGGUGUCAGGUUAAGUCCUAUAACGAGCGCAACCCCCGUUGUUAGUUGCCAGCGAGUCAUGUCGGGAACUCUAACAAGACUGCCAGUGCAAACUGUGAGGAAGGUGGGGAUGACGUCAAGUCCUCAUGGCCCUUACGGGUUGGGCUACACACGUGCUACAAUGGUAGUGACAAUGAGAUGCAAGGUGGCGACGCUAAGCUAAACUCAAAAAUCUACCUCAGUUCGGAUUGCACUCUGCAACUCGAGUGCAUGAAGCUGGAAUCGCUAGUAAUCGUAGAUCAGCGUGCUACGGUGAAUACGUUCCCGGGUCUUGUACACACCGA